rnacentral:rRNA from 1 species
UACGUAGGGGGCAAGCGUUGUCCGGAAUUACUGGGCGUAAAGGGCUCGUAGGUGGCCAACUAAGUCAGACGUGAAAUCCCUCGGCUUAACCGGGGAACUGCGUCUGAUACUGGAUGGCUUGAGUUUGGGAGAGGGACGCGGAAUUCCAGGUGUAGCGGUGAAAUGCGUAGAUAUCUGGAGGAACACCGGUGGCGAAGGCGGCGUCCUGGACCAAUACUGACACUGAUGAGCGAAAGCCAGGGGAGCAAACGGG